CUACGAGGGGCCCGAGCGUUAAUCGGAAUCACUGGGCUUAAAGGGUGCGCAGGCGGACUUGUAAGCAUCUUGUGAAAUCCCCCGGCUCAACCGGGGAACUGCAGGGUGAACUGCAAGUCUUGAGACAGGUAGGGGCAGAUGGAACUGUCGGUGGAGCGGUGAAAUGCUUAGAUAUCGACAGGAACGCCAAUGGCGAAGGCAAUCUGCUGGGCCUGUUCUGACGCUCAGGCACGAAAGCGUGGGGAGCAAACAGGAUUAGAUACCCUAGUAGUCC
rnacentral:rRNA from 1 species